CAAUAGCGUAUAUUAAAGUUGUUGCAGUUAAAAAGCUCGUAGUUGGAUUUCUGGUGGGAGCGAUCGGUCUGGCGCUUAGCGCGAGUACUUGCAUCGUCUCCGGCCAUCCUUGGGGGGAGUCUGUCUGGCAUUAGGUUGUCGGGCAGAGGAUCCUCAUCGUUUACUGUGAAAAAAUUAGAGUGUUCAAAGCAGGCUUAUGCCGUUGAAUAUAUUAGCAUGGAAUAAUAAGAUAGGACUUUGGUACUAUUUUGUUGGUUUGCGCACCAAAGUAAUGAUUAAUAGGGACAGUUGGUGGUAUUCGUAUUCCGUUGUCAGAGGUGAAAUUCUUGGAUUUACGGAAGACGAACUACUGCGAAAGCAUUUACCAAGGAUGUUUUCAUUAA
rnacentral:rRNA from 1 species